GCUAUUCAUUUGUUCUUGUUUGUUCAGCUGCACUUGUAACACUAUUGUAUUGUUUAUCGAAUCUUCAUUUGUUCGCGUUAUAUUCGAUGCAGACAGAUGCAUACAGAUGACCUAAAAAUAAAAAUAUUUCUUUAGUAAAAAAGACAAAACAAACCGGGGUAGACAGGAGAAAAAUAAGAGAAACAAUGGAGAUAAAGGCAAUUAUGUUUAUACGG